rnacentral:rRNA from 1 species
UACGAAGGGGACUAGCGUUGUUCGGAAUCACUGGGCGUAAAGCGCGCGUAGGCGGCUUUGUAAGUCAGGGGUGAAAUCCCGGGGCUCAACCUCGGAACUGCCUUUGAUACUGCGAGUCUUGAGUCCGAUAGAGGUGGGUGGAAUUCCUAGUGUAGAGGUGAAAUUCGUAGAUAUUAGGAAGAACACCAGUGGCGAAGGCGGCCCACUGGAUCGGUACUGACGCUGAGGUGCGAAAGCGUGGGGAGCAAACAGG